ACGGAGGGUGCAAGCGUUAAUCGGAAUUACUGGGCGUAAAGCGAGUGCAGGCGGUCGCGUGUGUCGGGUGUGAAAGCCCCGGGCUCAACCUGGGAAUUGCAUCCGAAACUGCGUGACUAGAAUAUGGUAGAGGAAGACGGAAUUCCACGUGUAGCGGUGAAAUGCGUAGAUAUGUGGAGGAACACCAAUGGCGAAGGCAGUCUUCUGGGCCAAUAUUGACGCUGAGGCUCGAAAGCGUGGGUAGCAAACAGG
rnacentral:rRNA from 1 species